CCCAAGAAUACCUUAAAGUGAUCUGAUGUUGUACAGAACUAUUACUGCUGAGUUAACCACAGUGGUCCAUGGUCAGAUCAUGCAGAGAUACCUUAAAGUGAGACGUGUCGCAUACAAGGGUGCAGCGGCUGAAAAGGCAUUUUGGUCGGAUAAUAAUUGUGAAAUACGUUUGUUCACUGAUAGCGGGAUUUGUUUUAUGAUUGAUGUUGGAUUAUUCGAAUGACUGUUGAUGAAAAGG